rnacentral:rRNA from 1 species
CCUACGGGGGGCAGCAGUGAGGAAUAUUGGUCAAUGGACGAGAGUCUGAACCAGCCAAGUAGCGUGAAGGAUGACUGCCCUAUGGGUUGUAAACUUCUUUUAUAUGGGAAUAAAAUGUUCCACGUGUGGGAUUUUGUAUGUACCAUAUGAAUAAGGAUCGGCUAACUCCGUGCCAGCAGCCGCGGUAAUACGGAGGAGCCGAGCGUUAUCCGGAUUUAUUGGGUUUAAAGGGAGCGUAGGUGGAUUGUUAAGUCAGUUGUGAAAGUUUGCGGCUCAACCGUAAAAUUGCAGUUGAAACUGGCAGUCUUGAGUACAGUAGAGGUGGGCGGAAUUCGUGGUGUAGCGGUGAAAUGCUUAGAUAUCACGAAGAACUCCGAUUGCGAAGGCAGUUCACUGGACUGCAACUGACACUGAGGCUCGAAAGUGUGGGUAUCAAACAGGAUUAGAUACCCUAGUAGUC